UACGGGGGGAGCAAGCGUUGUUCGGAUUUACUGGGCGUAAAGGGCGCGUAGGCGGCGCGACAAGUCACUUGUGAAAUCUCUGGGCUCAACCCAGAACGGUCAAGUGAUACUGUCGUGCUAGAGUGCGGAAGGGGCAACUGGAAUUCUUGGUGUAGCGGUGAAAUGCGUAGAUAUCAAGAGGAACACCUGCGGCGAAGGCGGGUUGCUGGGCCGACACUGACGCUGAGGAGCGAAAGCAUGGGGAGCGAACAGG
rnacentral:rRNA from 1 species